rnacentral:rRNA from 1 species
GACGAACGCUGGCGGCGUGCCUAACACAUGCAAGUCGAGCGAACAGACGAGGUCCUUGCUCCACUGACGUCAGCCGCGGACGGGUGAGUAACAUGAGGAUAACCCACCUAUAAGACUGGGAUAACUACGGGAAACCGGAGCUAAUACCGGACAAUAUAUUGAACCGCAUGGUUCAAUAGUGAAAGACGGUUUUGCUGUCACUUAUAGAUGGAUCCGCGCUGCAUUAGCUAGUUGGUAAGGUAACGGCUUACCAAGGCCGGCCUGCGUAGCCGACCUGAGAGGGUGAUCGGCCACAGUGGGGGUGAGACGCGGUCCAGAGUCCUACGGGAGGCAGCAGUAGGGAAUCGUCCGAAAUGGGCGGAAGCCUGACGGAGCAGCGCCGGGUGAGUGAUGAAACGCUGCGGGUCGUAAGACUCUGUUAGUAGGGUAGACCGAAUGUGUAAGUAACUAUGCACGUCGUGACGGUACCUGAACAAGAAGCCACGGCUAACUACGUG